rnacentral:lncRNA from 1 species
UUGAAACCCAGGCUCUAGCCCUUGGCGUUGGUCCUAAUAUUUCUAAUGCUUAUACAAUAAAUGGAUGGCCCGGUGAUCUCUAUCCAUGCUCUCAAAACCGUAAGUGACUGAUUGCAGAUUUAUGAUCUCCAUGCGUACUCCACAUGCUGUAACAACCAAUGUAUAAUUUAACUUAAUUUAAUUAUAUUUUCAGAAAUGUACAAGCAUAGGGUGAAGCAAGGGAAGACUUAUCUCUUACGUAUUAUCAACGCUGCCGUCAAUUCCCAUCUCUUUUACAAGAUAGCCAAUCAUAACAUGACUGUUGUGGCUGUUGACGCUCGUUACACCAACCCAUAUGUCACCGACGUCGUGGUUAUCUCCCCUGGCCAGACGGUUGACGUUUUGCUGACCGCGAAUCAGCCGGUUGGAUCGUAUUACAUGACCGCUAAUAAUUAUGCAAGUGCCAGUGGCACUGCAGUUGGUGUACCGUUUGAUCCUACUACGUCGAGGGGUGUCAUCAUCUAUCAGGGUGCAUCAUCUUCAACAACGCCGCUAAUGCCGGUCGUACCGGCUUUCAAUGACACCCCCACGG